GGUGUUUCCAAAAUCUGGGUCUCCACGCUACAUAGUGUCCUCCGUAGUCUACACACUUCGAAGUCCGCUUAACAUUUGUGAAAUGGGACAGUCUAUCUAAUCAACAAGAAUUUCCCAUGGCAACAACACAGGAUGCUGAAUCAUUUAAACCUCUGAAAUUACUCAUAGGACACCUCAGUGGGCGUUAAAACCGAGCGGUAACACCAACAGUAAAAAAAAAAAAAAAACAGUCUUAAGCGCUGUUGUUUUCCAGUUGGUACACACAUCAUUAACCCCUUAACGUUUUGUAA